GGGCGAUUAGCUCAGCGGGAGAGCACUGCCUUCACACGGCAGGGGUCGCUGGUUCGAUCCCAGCAUUGCCCACCA
rnacentral:tRNA from 1 species